rnacentral:rRNA from 1 species
AUCCAGACUCCUACGGGAGGCAGCAGUGGGGAAUAUUGCACAAUGGGCGCAAGCCUGAUGCAGCCAUGCCGCGUGUAUGAAGAAGGCCUUCGGGUUGUAAAGUACUUUCAGCGGGGAGGAAGGCGAUAAGGUUAAUAACCUUGUCGAUUGACGUUACCCGCAGAAGAAGCACCGGCUAACUCCGUGCCAGCAGCCGCGGUAAUACGGAGGGUGCAAGCGUUAAUCGGAAUUACUGGGCGUAAAGCGCACGCAGGCGGUCUGUCAAGUAGGAUGUGAAAUCCCCGGGCUCAACCUGGGAACUGCAUUCGAAGCUGGCAGGCUGGAGUCUGGUAGAGGGGGGUAGAAUUCCAGGUGUAGCGGUGAAAUGCGUAGAGAUCUGGAGGAAUACCGGUGGCGAAGGCGGCCCCCUGGACAAAGACUGACGCUCAGGUGCGAAAGCGUGGGGAGCAAACAGGAUUAGAUGCCCUUGGUAACA